rnacentral:lncRNA from 1 species
AUCUGGAGAUCAUCCCUCUUGGAGUCCCUUUGUGAGCCCAGGACAUGGUGUCAGUGUUCAGCUCCCUGAAUGAGCUCACUAUAAAGCUUCAUGGGAAGUUAAGAUGAGGUGGCAAUGUUCAGCCAGCAUCCAGGAAUGAAGAGCAGAACUGGGUUCAACUGUCACCCAACUGCAGAUAUUCAGAAAUUCCACAGCCAAACUCUCAAGAAUAGUCUUGAUGGGUUCAGAUAGAUAUUUGUGCUCUGAAAAGUAGAAUGGUAAUUAAUUGAGGAUGAUGCCCAGUCCAAUAUGGAAUCACUAAGGAUGAAGGAGCUCAGGAUGCAGAAGUAUUUGAAUAUUUAAGAUUGUAUAUUCUUUCUUUCAAUUUUCUUGACCAAGGAGACAAAGUCCAUUUAAAAUUGAUUUGCAUGUAGUUGACAUAGUGCAAUAGUUAUUUUAUAUCCUUAGUGAGAGAGUACUUGUAUAACAAUAUGCAGUAAAAAAAAAAAAUAACCAAGGAUGCCAGGGAAGCACUGAAAAUAAUGGGUCAGAGCUGCAUAUGCAUCUGGAGAGAGUGAGAAAGAAUUUCAUGGGAAAACCUUUUGGAUAAAGAAAAGUUAUGAAUGAUGAAAUGAUGAAAGAACUCAGUUCAGUAGGAUAUAGGAGAGCACAAAUUUAUGCAUUCAAGCGAGGAGGGCAUUGUCUAUGACCUUCAUUACAGGUUGGAUCAGGGCUGCAAAGACCUGUAUGAACUGGGGAAUGGUGGAAGUUAGACUCUAAAUAGAUUUACUGUAUUACUGUUCAGAAAUGAAAUAUGAGCUGCACUUCAUAGGCAAAUGUCUAAACAUUUCCAUUUCCCCAGGAGCAUAUUGCAAUUGUAUUUUCUUCAUAAAGGAAGUUUUUGAAGUAAAAAAUGAUUACAUUUGCAAAAUAAUAAGGAAGAUAAAACCAUUUCAAAUUGAGAAAGUAUAUUUGCUACAAAAAAUUCUGUAGAAAUAGGGCCUUCAUGUUCUAGCACUUUUGCAUGCAUAGUAAUUCUAUCAGAAGUACAUUAUAUCAUUAUUUCAGGCACUUGAUUAAUUUUCAUUUGAAGUAGUUAUUUGGGAAUGAUAGCAAGCCAGCUGGGCUAUUGAAAACUCUAGUUGGAUUCACAAGCAUAAGCAUUGCAUAAGCAAUAGGCUGUAGUGGGUACCUAGAUGUGAAUGGCCCACCUGAAGCAUUUAAGAGUAUAAAUUAAUUUGUUAAUGCUUCUUGGUUCAUGCAGGAACAUUGUAUAUUAUUGAGCUUUUGAGGAAAAGGAUAUUCAGGGUAAAGGAAAGUAUUCCAGAAAGUAAGAGAACUUUGUGAAGAAAUGGAAUUGAAGAUAAUGAAUGAUUCAACACAUUCAUUCAGGACUAUGUGUCUACAGCUUUGGCUUAUGUGUGCAUGCUUGGAAAUACUGAAAGAGGAGUUGCCAAGACUACAUGAGAAUGCUAGCCCCCAUCUUCUAUUGGCUUCAUCCUUAGGUCCUUUAACAAAAGAUUAAUCUCCAAAGUAACUGUUUGGUAGGUCUGGGGAUUUGUUCAGGUGAAAAAAAAUGUAGAACUUUGAAAAUACGUUGUUCAACCACACAAAAACAAACUUCUGCAAACAUAUGUGC